rnacentral:rRNA from 1 species
AGUGAACGCUGGCGGUAGGCCUAACACAUGCAAGUCGAACGGCAGCACAGUAAGAGCUUGCUCUUACGGGUGGCGAGUGGCGGACGGGUGAGGAAUACAUCGGAAUCUACUUUUUCGUGGGGGAUAACGUAGGGAAACUUACGCUAAUACCGCAUACGACCUACGGGUGAAAGCAGUGGAUCUUCUGACCUUGCGCGAUUGAAUUAGCCGAUGUCGGAUUAGCUAGUUGGCGGGGUAAAGGCCCACCAAGGCGACGAUCCGUAGCUGGUCUGAGAGGAUGAUCAGCCACACUGGAACUGAGACACGGUCCAGACUCCUACGGGAGGCAGCAGUGGGGAAUAUUGGACAAUGGGCGCAAGCCUGAUCCAGCCAUACCGCGUGGGUGAAGAAGGCCUUCGGGUUGUAAAGCCCUUUUGUUGGGAAAGAAAAGCAGCAGGUUAAUACCCCGCUGUUCUGACGGUACCCAAAGAAUAAGCACCGGCUAACUUCGUG